rnacentral:rRNA from 1 species
GCCUGUUUAUCAAAAACAUCGCUCCUUGUGUCCUAUAAAUAGGGAGUCGGACCUGCCCAGUGAAUUUUUAACGGCCGCGGUACUCUGACCGUGCAAAGGUAGCAUAAUAAUUUGCCUUAUAAUUGAAGGCUGGUAUGAAUGGUUUGACGAGAAUAAAGCUGUCUCUUUAUAAUUCACCAGAAAUUUAUUUGCAGAUGAAAAAGUCUGCAUAGUAUUAAAAGACAAGAAGACCCUAUCGAGCUUAAAAAAAUUUAGUAGGAUAUAAAUAAGCUAAUUAAACCUAAAAAGCCAUCUACUAAAGAUUUUAGUUGGGGCGACCGAGGAACAAACAAAGCUUCCUCAAAUAUUUUCCUUACUGAUUAGUAAUGAUCCAGAAGCUUCUGAUUAAUAAAAUUAGUUACCGUAGGGAUAACAGCAUUAUCUUUUUUGAGAGCUCUUAUCGAAAAAAAGGUUUGUGACCUCGAUGUUGGACCAGAAUGUCCUAAAGAUGCAGCAGUCUUUAAGGGUUGGUCUGUUCGACCAUUAAUAUUCUACGUGAUCUGAGUUCA